AGAGUUUGAUCAUGGCUCAGAUUGAACGCUGGCGGCAUGCCUUACACAUGCAAGUCGAACGGCAGCACGGGAGCAAUCCUGGUGGCGAGUGGCGAACGGGUGAGUAAUAUAUCGGAACGUGCCCAGUAGUGGGGGAUAGCCCGGCGAAAGCCGGAUUAAUACCGCAUACGACCUGUGGGUGAAAGCGGGGGAUCGCAAGACCUCGCGCUAUUGGAGCGGCCGAUAUCAGAUUAGCUUGUUGGUGGGGUAAAAGCCCACCAAGGCGACGAUCUGUAGCUGGUCUGAGAGGACGACCAGCCACACUGGGACUGAGACACGGCCCAGACUCCUACGGGAGGCAGCAGUGGGGAAUUUUGGACAAUGGGCGCAAGCCUGAUCCAGCCAUGCCGCGUGUGGGAAGAAGGCCUUCGGGUUGUAAACCACUUUUGUCAGGGAAAAAACGGUUUGACUUAAUACGUUGAACUAAUGACGGUACCUGAAGAAUAAGCACCGGCUAACUACGUG
rnacentral:rRNA from 1 species